CCCCUAGAUGUUCUGGGCCGCACGCGCGCUACACUGAACAGUUCAACAAGUCUUAACCUUGGCCGAUAGGUCUGGGUAAUCUUUGAACGCUGUUCGUGAUUGGGAUAGACCUUUGCAAUUAUGGGUCUCCAACGAGGAAUUCCUAGUAAACGCAAGUCAUCAGCUUGCAUUGAUUACGUCCCUGCCCUUUGUACACACCGCCCGUCGCACCUACCGAUUGAAUGGUCCGGUGAAAUCUCGGGACGGCGGCUUGGUCGCUUGCGUCCGACUGCUGAAACUUGAUUAAACCAUAUCAUUUAGAGGAAGGUGAANUCGUANCA
rnacentral:rRNA from 1 species